rnacentral:rRNA from 1 species
CGUGAGGGAUGACGGCCUUCGGGUUGUAAACCUCUUUCAGUAGGGAAGAAGCGAAAGUGACGGUACCUGCAGAAGAAGCACCGGCUAACUACGUGCCAGCAGCCGCGGUAAUACGUAGGGUGCGAGCGUUAUCCGGAAUUAUUGGGCGUAAAGAGCUCGUAGGCGGUUUGUCGCGUCUGUCGUGAAAGUCCGGGGCUUAACCCCGGAUCUGCGGUGGGUACGGGCAGACUAGAGUGCAGUAGGGGAGACUGGAAUUCCUGGUGUAGCGGUGGAAUGCGCAGAUAUCAGGAGGAACACCGAUGGCGAAGGCAGGUCUCUGGGCUGUAACUGACGCUGAGGAGCGAAAGCAUGGGGAGCGAACAGGAUUAGAUACCCUGGUAGUCCAUGCCGUAAACGUUGGGCACUAGGUG